rnacentral:rRNA from 1 species
GACGAACGCUGGCGGCGUGCUUAACACAUGCAAGUCGAACGGAAAGGCUCCAGCUUGCUGGAGUACUCGAGUGGCGAACGGGUGAGUAACACGUGGGUAAUCUGCCCUGCACUCUGGGAUAAGCCUGGGAAACUGGGUCUAAUACUGGAUAUGACCUUUCUCCUUAUGGGGUUUGGUGGAAAGUUUUUCGGUGUAGGAUGAGCCCGCGGCCUAUCAGCUUGUUGGUGGGGUGAUGGCCUACCAAGGCGACGACGGGUAGCCGGCCUGAGAGGGUGAUCGGCACAUUGGGGAUUGGGAUACGGCCCAGCCCCUUCGGGGGGCAGCAGGGGGGGAUAAUUGAACAAGGGCCGAAGGCUUAAUCAGCGACCGCGGGGGGGGGAAGACCGCCUUUGGGGUUGUAACCUCUUUCAGCAGGGACGAAGCGUAAGUGACGGUACCUGCAGAAGAAGCACCGGCUAACUAUGUG